GAUGAACGCUGGCGGCGUGCUUAACACAUGCAAGUCGAACGAGAAGUGAAGACGGAAGCCUUCGGGCGGAAGGCGUUAUUUGGAGUGGCGGACGGUGGAUUACCGCCUGGUUAACCUGCCUCAUCCAGGGGAAUCACAGUUGGAAACGACUGAUAAUACCGAAUCAGACCACAGCACCGCAUGGUACGGUGGUAAAAACUCCGAUAGAUUGAGAUGCACCCCCGUGCGAUUAGCCAGAUGGCGUGGUAACGGCCCACCAAAGCGACGAUCGACAGCCGAGCAGAGAGGAUGAGCCGACACAUUGGCACGGAGCCACGGCCGAAACUCCUACGGGAGGCAGCAGUGGGGAAUAUUGCACAGCGGCGGAAAUCCUGAUGGAGCGCCGAUGGGAGAGUGCAGAAGUAUUUCAGUAUGUAAAGCGCUAGCAGCAGGGAAGAAAAUGACGGUACCUGAGCAAGAAGCCCCGGCUAACUACGUG
rnacentral:rRNA from 1 species